UGGCCUGUGGAUCCAUAAUGGUCGAUUUAUUGUCGGGAAACAAGCCCUCGUUGGAUCUCGGUCUUCCUAUGUUGACUCCGCGACCCAUGGUUGGCUUCAGAUCUCUCCGCGCCCUUUUCGACUCCGCCGGCCUCCGCCGGCCUCUCUCCCCCCGGCAACAUUUCUCGGCCCGCCGACUCCACCGAGAGUCGUCGAUGGAUCGGAGAACGCAGGAGUCCGGUUUCAUUCACCCGACCGCUAUCAUUCAUCCGGAUGCGGUCAUUGGACAGGGUGUGUCGAUUGGUCCUUUCUGUACCGUUGACUUCGCCGUCAAGAUUGGUAAUGCAUGCCAAUUGCAAGCAGGGAGUCAUAUCAUGGGGGAGACCGAGAUAGGGGAUUCUUGCAUCAUUCAAACUGGUGCUAUUGUUGGAGCAGAUCUAGCAGGUCGAACAAUCAUUGGAAGUCAUAAUGUUAUCGGACAUCAUGCGGUAGUUGGUGCAAAGUGCCAAGACUUGAAAUAUAAGCAAGGGGAUGAAUGUUUCCUGCAUGUUGGUGAUCAGAAUGACAUCAGAGAGUAUUGUUCCAUUCAUCGUUCAUCUAAAUCUAGUGACAGAACGGUUAUUGGUGAUAACAACUUAAUCAUGGGAGCAUGUCAUAUUGCUCAUGACUGCAAAGUUGGUAACAAGAACAUAUUUGCUAAUAACACUCUCCUUGCAGGCCAUGUUGUGGUAGAAGAUUAUGCUCAUACUGCAGGGGCUAUUACUGUUCACCAAUUUUGUCACAUUGGAUCACACUCUUUCAUUGGUGGGGGGUCUGUGGUUACACAGGAUGUACCAAAAUUCAUGUUGGUUUCCGGCGAUAGAGCAGAGCUUCAUGGUUUAAACUUAGAGGGCCUUCGGCGGCAUGGAUUCUCAAAUACCGAGAUUCGAGGUCUGAGGAGAGCUUACCAAAAGAUAUUUAUGCCCAAUGAAUCAAACUCUGGGGGCUUGGAUGACAGGCUCGCAGAAGUGGAGCAAGACAAAGAAGUAGCUCACUUUUCUGCUGUGUCUUUUAUGGUGCAAUCCAUACGUGAAUCAUUUCAGCAAAAUCGUCGUGGAAUAUGCAAGUUCAGGAAUUGGAGUGCCUCCUGAAGAAUCGUGGCAGUGAGCUGUUUUUCUUUUGAAAUCCAGUCAUUCUCUCAAGGUUCACACAAUUCCAAACCGGCCUAAGAUUUCACCAGUGCCGAUCAUUUGGAAGGCCUUCCUGCUAUAGAAGAAGCAAACUCUGAUAAAGACCAAGAUGAACAAAGACAACAGACAUGGUAUCAUCAAUGUCAUCUUGCUGAAGGUCCAUCACUGUCUGUUUCUUGUAGUCGGAGUGUACCAACCUUACUAAUCCCACUGGAUUCCGUGUACAAGAUGUCGCUGCUCGUGUUCUGGUACUGGUUCUCCUCACCAGCAUCGCACAGUGCCAAACUCUCCUUGAGCUGCAGGACCACCUCUGUCAUCGUCGGCCUCCUGACGGAGGAAUGUGCGACGCACUCCAGUGCGAUGUUGGCGACCUUCCAAGAAGAGUUGAGGCAGUACUCCUGCUGCAGUCUCGCAUCCACGACCUCCUCAAUGUUGCCUUUCGCAAGCUUCCGGCGAACCCAUUCAACCAGGAUGACUACCACCAAGAGGGGUAUGAUGACAGGAACUAUGCAAGAAAUAAUGAUCGUAAGUACUGCAAUCUUUCUCUUCCGGCUUGACUUCGGCUUUGCCUUGCAUGAAGUGGUAUCGAUACAAAUAUUUGGGUUGCCUUCGAUUCUAGCAUCACAAGGAUUUAAAUCUCUUAGAAAACGAGGUGAUGGAUCUCAUGCACUUCCUCGAUGUCAAAAAAGAAAGGAGAGGAAACAAUUUCAGACAGGAAAUAGUUUGAUAAACAUUCCAGCUUUGCCUCAAAUUAUGGAUAUUCUUUCUUAGGGAUUUAAACCGCAUAGUUUGAGACUUGUGUUGUUACUUUCUGUUGUUCAUUGCAAAACUUUCCCAAAAACUAGUUGAAACUUUACACUAAUCCUUCUUUUAUGGACUUUGUUAACAUGCUUAAAGUGGAAAACCAGGAAUCAAUUUUCCAUUCAA